UUCCUCAUCUGUAAAACGGACAUGAUAGAACACCUGCCCCCCAAAGUUGCCAUGAGGAUUAAAUGAGCAGCGCUUGGCCUCCAGGGGGAUUUUGGCACCGCGGCAUCUCAGAAGGCCCAGAGCAAGGAGCAGGCUGCUUUCUCACCCCAGCUCCGUGGCCUCCCAAGCUCAUCUAGACUCUGCUGAAACCCUAUCCCAGCUUCCUAUAAAUUUGAAGCGUCUUUACACUUGUCCCUCUCUGCUCAGCUUUAUUUCCACAGCAUUAUUUUGAGCUCUGGCGCCUCCUCUCAUUUGUGCCUUAAAGUAGUUUGCAGCCAAGCAGGGAGGACAAGUAGCUGUGAGAUGAUGUGCGGGAAGCCUAGGAGGGGCAUCUGUUCCAGCCUUGGGGAGGUCUUCCUGGAGGAGCUGGUCUUCUUGAAGGGCAGAGGCAGCACAGAGCCACGGCCACCUGCUAUUUCAGCCCGGCUGCCAGCACGGACCCACCUGGUCCCAGCACAAUUGCAUCCCGUGCUGUGCUUUGUCGUCCUGCAAGUUCCCUGGGGCCUUCUUCAGGCCUGCAGGGGCCUGCCUGUGAGCACACAGCCUGCGAGGUGGGGAGGCGUCAGCACCCCCCCGAGAAGCAGCCCCAAGACGCGGGCCUGGGGGCUGGGAGUGGUGAACGCGUGCUCCGACUUUUCAUCCUGCAGGUGGACGCUCUGGGAGUGCUCUCGACGCAUCCUCGUGUCGACUUGUCACCUCCCAGCUCGCUCUCCUGCCCCCUCACGCCUCUUGCUGCCAUCAUUCUGCCCAAACAGCAAUUUGCCCUCGAGCCUGUGUCUCAGGUUCCUCGGGGAAUGCAGGCUAAGAACCAGGGCGAGUACAGGCUCAACAGGGAUGCUGGUAGAGGCAGACAUCUCUUGGAGCAAACCCAGGUGCCUCCGAAACCACCCCAACUCUUUCACAUUCUCGCGGCCAUUAUGACACCUGUCCCAAACUUCCGACGUUUGCCCAUGGGUCCCCAGGAGAGUGUCCCACCCCCUUCUUUCUUCCUUGGAGACCCUCUGCGAUCACCUGGCGUGGAUUAGGAAACCCCAAGGAACAGACGAUGCCAGCGCUGGCCCUGAGUGCCCCGUGGGAAGCAUUUCUGUGGCUGCCAGUCCAUUUCCCAACUGCAGGCACCAGGGAGUCUCUGAGGAGGGUCUGUCUGGACGCCAGAGCUUGCUGGGCCUGUGGGCAGGAGCAGCUGGC